AAAAGGACAUAUUACUUCGAUAAGUGAAUAACAUAAGGAAAAUCAACAACAAUCCAAUUUUAGCACAUCGAUCCACGUGUCACAAAGUUCGGCACUCCUUCCUCUUCAUCGUCUUCUAAAAUUACGGCAACAGAUUGAUCUCUGGAAUGAAUAAAGUCAUCAGUAUGAAACACUUCCUGAAUUCGCUUUAGAUCCCUUUGGGUUGCAACAGGU
rnacentral:lncRNA from 1 species